GUGAAUGUUUAUGAGUGUUGGUGAGUCUUUCCGUGGGUCAGCCACCCCUGUGAGGCUCGUGCCAGGUGCUCAUGCACUUUUGCGCAACCAUCGUAUUCCUUUCUGUCCAUGAAUACUAGGUACAUACUCGACGUACAUACGUAAGAGUAAAACAUAGUCUGUGACGAGGGCUGACGAUGAGAGAGUGUUACUCAGAGAGAGAGAGAGAGAGAAAGAAAAAAAAAAGAGGAAAGGUUUCCUCGCUAGUUUUCAAACUCUAGACCAGGGUUUGGAGUGCGGUAGAGAGAGAGAGAGAGAGAGAGAGAGAGAGAGAGAGAGAGAGAGCAAAGGGUGGUCGAAGGUGGCGUCGGCGUCGCGACGCCCGGAGAGUCAGUCGUCAUCCGACCUCACCGCGUCGUGCAAUACUUUCGUGUCAAAAUUCACGAAAAAUAAAGAAAAACAAAAUAAGCGCCUUUUUUUCAUCCCACCCCCCCCCUUUUUUUUCUCUUAUUUUCUUUUAUCAUUUUUUUUUUUUUUUUUUUUUUUUUUUUUUUUGUGUCACUUAAUUUCCCCAAAAAUGAAAAAUAGAUAAUAGAAAAAAUAAUAAUAAUAAUACGCGAGUGCAAUUGACGCCAUUUUUUUUCUACCCCUCCCUCCCUUUACUCCUUCCCCCCCCAUUAACCUCCUCUUUUGCUUACGUACAACAAUAUUAGUGUGUACAUAUCAUAUUUAUAAAUACAAAUAAUGUUUUUUAGAAACGAUUUACAUAUUUAGAGAAGUUAUAAAAGAGAGGGGAAAUAUUUUUAUUUUCCUGUGUAAAUUCAUCGGGAUUUUUUUUUUUUUUACAUUCUUUUUUAUAAGAAGAGAAUUUUUAAAAUGAAUUUCUGUGAUAUGAAUGUUUUUUUUUUUUUUCUUAAUUGAACAUUGAAUUUAUUUUUAAAAGCAUAUGGAAAAUUUUUUUGUUCUAUCAGGAAUAUAAUGAGUUUUAAGUGGAAAAUUGUGUGAAAUCUUCCAUCAGCAUUCAUGAAUUGCAUUAGGCGUUGUGGAAAUAGACGUGUCGUGACAGUGCGCUAUGUACCACGGGACCGCUACUUCCGGUAUCGAAAAAGACGAUUUGCAGGCGAAAAAAAAAAAGAAAAGUUAAAAAAAAUACGAAAAUUUUUCAUUUUAUUGUUGAGAGUGUGCUUUUUUAAUCUCACAAUCUAGAAAGCAGAGAAAAGUGUCGACGACGCUCCGAUGAUGGGAUUUAUUAUGGGCUGCACUUGUUUCAAAGGUACCACCCUGAACCAGAUAUUUCAAGGUAUGUAAUGCAAGUUUGAAAUCAAUCGUCAAAUAAAAUUAAAGCCGCGAAAAUAUGAGGGUGAGAUUAUUAUUUUUGUAAUUUUCUGAAAAAAAAAAAAAAAAAAAAAUUAAUAAUUUGUUUUGCAAUUCUCUGAAAUAUUUUUUUAUUUUUACUCUCUAUGAAAUGCUUGAUAAAUUUAUUUUGCAAAA